rnacentral:rRNA from 1 species
UACGUAGGGGGCAAGCGUUGUCCGGAAUCAUUGGGCGUAAAGAGCGUGUAGGCGGCCAGGUAGGUCGGCUGUGAAAACUCGAGGCUCAACCUCGAGACGUCGGCCGAAACCAUCUGGCUAGAGUCCGGAAGAGGAGAGUGGAAUUCCUGGUGUAGCGGUGAAAUGCGCAGAUAUCAGGAAGAACACCCGUGGCGAAGGCGGCUCUCUGGGACGGUACUGACGCUGAGACGCGAAAGCGUGGGGAGCGAACAGG